GCCCACUGGCCCGCCGCAGCUCCCACCAUUGGCUGGCGGCACCUGUCCGUUUCCUGGGAGAGUUCAGCACCUCCCGGCAGGAAGAGGCUCCGGCCUCAUUGGGUGCCUGAGGAGGGAAGGGUGGAUCCUAAAAGGUAAUGCUGAGCCUUCAUUCAAACUAAAAGGCUGGAAGGGAGGCCGCUGCCUUUGUUUGCCAUGGAUGAGUAGGGGCUGCACUGAGCAGCACCGGUGUUCUUCAUCCGGCUGCACCCCCAACAGAGCUCUUUCUUCUCCAGAUCCCUUUUACAGGUGGAUUCUCCCUCUUGGAUCUGCCUUUGCCUAAGUCCAACCUAGAGGGAUCAGCUUCGCCCACGCCCACUCUCACCCGGAACCUUUCAUCUCUUUUUGAAGCCUUUUAGGCCCAUUGGGAUGUUCAUUAGAAGAACUCUGAAAACUACAGUUCUCCCCUUUAUGAGGACUGCACCACAGCUCGCCCUCUUCUGGGAUCCGGUAAGAAGAGAUUCCAAUACCACUCUUUUUUCAGAAUUCAGAAAGACAAGAGACCGCCUUACUGGGCUUCAAACUGGGGCUGCCAUGAAUGGAACGCUGCCAUGAAUUGGGCUUGGUCUGUCUGAAGGGAGCCAACUUUUCGACAAUCCUUAGGCAUCUUUUGCCUGUUGGAAUUACACCUUGGAUCGUGGCGAAGCCUACAAAGGUCAGAUUAAGAAGAACCAAAGCAGAAUAAACGUAGAAGCCGAUGCUGAGUUCAUGAGUGAGGACGACCUCUUCCUAUAUGCUUUUGCUAUACCCUGCGUUUUGAACAUUAAGAACGAGAUAGGAGGCCCACGAUGUUUCUUCUUGCUUUAAUCCUAUCAUGGCAACGUUGACUUCCAGUAAGAAAGGAAAGAAGCCCUAGUACCUGAUUCAUAAACUCCAUUUGCAUUAAAUAUGAUUUUAAGCAAAUGGUUUGGGCAGAUGUGUGGCAGGGCUGAUGGAACAGACCUUUGGAGUCAGACCCAGGUUUGAAUUCUUUAUCAACUUGUCAUGACUGUGGGAGGCCUUUCACCUCUCUGAGCCUCUGUUUCAUUGUUGGUAACAUGAGAUUGUAUAAAAUGGGGUUGCUGUGAAGGUUAGAUGAAGUAAGAGGUCCUCCUGGCAGUGCCUAAUACAUAAUAAUAAGUGCUUAAUAAAUUGUAAAUGUUAUCACAAUUGAUAGUAUUUAAUUCCUCUAUGAGGAAUUAUGAGUUAAUGCAGCUUGAACCACCAAAAAGGUAAGGAAUCUUUCGUCUUUUAGGAAAACCUCAGUUCAGAAAAGCAAUAAACUGUGGGGGGCUGUUUAGAAUGUCGCAUCUCUGGAGAGCAAGUUGCAUUUUAACAAUGAUCAGAGCCUUUAAUUAAGGAGUGAAGGUCAAAUCAUUUCUGCUUCAUCCAGCCUGGUUGCAGAGUGAGCCCAUGGGACAGCCCUCUGAAAUUACACUGCUUGCAACCAUGCUGAGUCUGCAAGGACUUCAUCCAAGCCUUUCCAUCCAGGACCUCAAACAGAUCCAAUCACAAGAAGAGAGAUUUCAGGAAAGAGAAAAUUAUUACUAUCAUCGGGGUUUUCGAAGAACAUGAAAUGACUGGGAAAAUAAUUAUGUUAAGUGGAAAAAAAAGAAAUCUAUCUGUUGUAAUUUUCAAAUAAUUUUUAAAUAAAUUUGAAAAAUUAAGAGAACUAUA